rnacentral:rRNA from 1 species
GACCCCAGGUCAGGCGGGACUACCCGCUGAGUUUAAGCAUAUCAAUAAGCAGAGGAAAAGAAACUUACAAGGAUUCCCCUAGUAACGGCGA